rnacentral:rRNA from 1 species
AGGGAAUCUUCGGCAAUGGGGGCAACCCUGACCGAGCAACGCCGCGUGAGUGAAGAAGGUUUUCGGAUCGUAAAGCUCUGUUGUAAGUCAAGAACGGGUGUGAGAGUGGAAAGUUCACACUGUGACGGUAGCUUACCAGAAAGGGACGGCUAACUACGUGCCAGCAGCCGCGGUAAUACGUAGGUCCCGAGCGUUGUCCGGAUUUAUUGGGGCGUAAAGCGAGCGCAGGCGGUUUGAUAAGUCUGAAGUUAAAGGCUGUGGCUCAACCAUAGUUCGCUUUGGAAACUGUCAAACUUGAGUGCAGAAGGGGAGAGUGGAAUUCCAUGUGUAGCGGUGAAAUGCGUAGAUAUAUGGAGGAACACCGGUGGCGAAAGCGGCUCUCUGGUCUGUAACUGACGCUGAGGCUCGAAAGCGUGGGGAGCGAACAGGAUUAGAUACCC